UUGAACGCUGGCGGCAGGCCUAACACAUGCAAGUCGAACGGUAACAGGAAGCAGCUUGCUGCUUCGCUGACGAGUGGCGGACGGGUGAGUAAUGUCUGGGAAACUGCCUGAUGGAGGGGGAUAACUACUGGAAACGGUAGCUAAUACCGCAUAACGUCGCAAGACCAAAGAGGGGGACCUUCGGGCCUCUUGCCAUCGGAUGUGCCCAGAUGGGAUUAGCUAGUAGGUGGGGUAACGGCUCACCUAGGCGACGAUCCCUAGCUGGUCUGAGAGGAUGACCAGCCACACUGGAACUGAGACACGGUCCAGACUCCUACGGGAGGCAGCAGUGGGGAAUAUUGCACAAUGGGCGCAAGCCUGAUGCAGCCAUGCCGCGUGUAUGAAGAAGGCCUUCGGGUUGUAAAGUACUUUCAGCGGGGAGGAAGGGAGUAAAGUUAAUACCUUUGCUUAUUGACGUUACCCGCAGAAGAAGCACCGGCUAACUCCGUG
rnacentral:rRNA from 1 species